rnacentral:rRNA from 1 species
CCUACGGGUGGCAGCAGUGGGGAAUAUUGCACAAUGGGGGAAACCCUGAUGCAGCGACGCCGCGUGAGUGAAGAAGUAAUUCGUUAUGUAAAGCUCUAUCAGCAGGGAAGAAAAUGACGGUACCUGAGUAAGAAGCCCCGCCCAACUACGUGCCAGCAGCCGCGGUAAUACGUAGGGGGCAAGCGUUUUCCGGAUUUACUGGGUUUAAAGGGAGCGUAGACGGGAGUGCAAUUCUGGUGUGAAAGGCGGGGGCUCAACCCCCGGACUGCUCUGGAAACUGUACGGCUGGAGGGCAGGAGAGGUAAGUGGAAUUCCUGGUGUAGCGGUGAAAUGCGUAGAUAUUAGGAGGAACACCAGUGGCGAAGGCAGCUUACGGGACUGUAACUGACGUUGAGGCUCGAAAGCGUGGGGAGCAAACAGGAUUAGAUACCCUUGUAGUC